rnacentral:rRNA from 1 species
UACGAAGGGGGCUAGCGUUGCUCGGAAUUACUGGGCGUAAAGCGCACGUAGGCGGCUUUCUAAGUCGGGGGUGAAAUCCUGGAGCUCAACUCCAGAACUGCCUUCGAUACUGGAGAGCUCGAGUCCGGGAGAGGUGAGUGGAACUGCGAGUGUAGAGGUGAAAUUCGUAGAUAUUGGGAAGAACACCAGUGGCGAAGGCGGCUAACUGGUCCAGAUCUGACGCUGAGGUGCGAAAGGCGUGGGGAGCAAACAGG